GGAUUAGAUACCCUGGUAGUCCACGCCGUAAACGAUGUCUACUAGCUGUCUGUGCGAUUAAGUGUGGGUAGCGAAGCUAACGCGCUAAGUAGACCGCCUGGGGAGUACGGCCGCAAGGUUAAAACUCAAAUGAAUUGACGGGGGCCCGCACAAGCGGUGGAGCAUGUGGUUUAAUUCGAUGCAACGCGAAGAACCUUACCAGGACUUGACAUCCAGAGAACUUACUAGAGAUAGUUUGGUGCCUUCGGGAACUCUGAGGCAGGUGCUGCAUGGCUGUCGUCAGCUCGUGCCG
rnacentral:rRNA from 1 species